AACGCAGCGCAUCAUUAAGUUAAUCACGUCGGACUUUUUCGUUUUUGGCCCGUUGAACAAACGUGGGUUUUGUUACGUCCUCCGUUUAAGGCCCUGGGUAUAAGACAACAUACGACGCUAACCCUAGCUGUCUCCUUCGUUACUCUGAGUACGGGCAUCUGUGCGGUGCACACGGGCUACCACACCUGAUAGUGAACGGAGACUAGAGGCAUUGGGGAGAGUUUAUAACACCAGGACUUUUGUUCCUGUGCAUCGCAGGAUGGAUCGGGUGGGUGGGGAGAAGCUAGAAGUAGGAACAGGGCAGAGGAUAAGGAUACGCCGGUAGCACGGGUAGAAGAUUCCGUGGCGGAGAUAAAGCUUACGGGCUCUUGACUAACAUUUUGGAGAAGAAACCAUUUAUAUAGAAGGACGUUCUUUAGAAGAACUCAGAAACUCUUUAUUCAACGAGCUUAUAACGUAGAAGGAGUUGGCGGCAACAAACAUGGUUAUAACAUUACUGUGUAUUUUAUAUGUGUGGUCAGCUGAUAGCAUGGCGACAAUGAUGACAGAGAUAUAAAGACUAAGUACUGUGUCUGGGACAGUUUCAACACAAGAUGAAACGCAUCACUAUACUAGGAGAUCGUUGGCUACCCUGAUUUUCCAGUCACAGAAGGGAACUCCGAACCCUUGAGCUUAGCCCAUCAAGCAUGAAAGUUCAUUAGCGAGUAAGGUGAAGAUGAUUGUUAUACUUGGUGGAGCUUUCUUUGCAUUAGGGAAUAUCAAUCCCCCAGCUGAAGCAAAUAUACAACACCCUCUGAACCUCUUAAUUAAUCUUCUAUCAAUGAAAGAAUGCAGGUUUCAUGUUUUGUGGGUUUUUCCCCUUUCUAUGCAGAUGUAUAGUCACAAGGAAGCAGCCGAUGUUUGGUUUCAUGUCUGGAGCUAAUAUCACUGACAUCACUACCCAACUUAAACAGACAGAUGAUGACCUCUUAGCCCUGUGUGACUCCAACGGAAACACGCAAGGUUGUUAAGUGACAUGUGCAAAUUUUACAGAGCUUGGCACGUCAAAUCUGAUGGAGUGUUACCUCCAUAACCCUGUGAGCUUUCUGGAAGCAGUACAGCCUGAUCUAUUCAAAUAUAAGAAAUGAGUUGUUUGGGUGGGACUCAGGGAAUAUGCGCGGGCCAUAGGCUCAUGGAUCAAGCCCUCAAGAGGUCUUAUUAUAUAGACUUUAAGCUUCAGAGAAAAACAAAGAAAUGUAGAUGGAACGGAAGCAAUCUAUGGGUGAGAUUUUCACCAGUGUUGUGGCGUGGAAAAUAGAUGUAGACAAAUUUGGAAUGUAUCUGAUGAAGCUUAAUUUGAAUCUUAAUUCAAGAUCUGUAUUAGAAUUGUGUAAAUGCAAAACUUAGCUAAAAAACAAUGAAAACUAUCUAUCUUCUCUUUUAGUCU